CGCCCGCUGACAGGAGCGUGGCUUCCCAGUCACUCAGACCUGCGUCACUCUGUGGGGGCAGGAAGUGAAGAACGGGAUUUAAGCCGGAGACUGGGCGUGGGGGAAGGAGACUGACAGGCAAGGCCGAGUUCCAGCGGAGUGGGGCGUUUUCCCAGCACAGGCCGUGGCCACGGUGCCACCUGCCGGCGGGUAUGCGAUGGGAAUAGCAUCAAAGGGAGAGGAAAUUACAGGGCAGCAUCUGUGGGCAGUGGUGGAGAAGGAAGAUGCGGGCGAUUGCUUUAGUCUUCACGUUUGGAGUUCUGUCUGCUCUGGAAACAGAGUAGAAGAAAUUCACCUGCGAGUCUGACAAAUUCCAUCCAUUCCUGAAAGACAAGGAACAAAGUCUUCU